UCAAGUUACUGGCUUCAAGCCUAUCCAUC
rnacentral:piRNA from 1 species